CCUCUUUCUAAAAAUCAGAUUUGAUCAUGUCAUUCUUUACUUAACAAAUUUCAGUGGCUCCCUAUUAUCUCCAGGAGUAAAUAAAAAAUAUCCUAUUUGACAUUCAAAGCCUUUCAUAAAUGAAUCCUCUUUAACUUUUCCAUUCUUCUUACAGCUUAAUCUUCUACACAUCUUCUUUGAUCCAGUAACUUUGGGCUCCUGGUUAUACCAUGAACAAGAUGCCCUUCUGUGUCCAGUCUGCCCCAGAUGAAUAAGAAGUUUGCACCUAAUCUUGAAUGUGAUGGAAUCAUGGGGACCAUGUUGGACAAAUUUGGGGCAAUGGAAGCUAGCCAGGAAUUUUGAGCAAGUGGAUGACAUGAACAGAUUAUCAAACAUAAUCUCUUUUAUGAGAUUAUUUUGGCAGCUAAGUGAAUAAUAUUUUGGAAGGAGAAAAAUGAGAAAUGGUACCUAUUAGAAGCCUAUUAAAUUAUUCUAUGUGGUACAUAAUUAGCAACUGAACUAUGAUGUUGGCUAUGUGAAUAAGAAGAGUAAUCCAAAAAGAGGAGAUAGAGGAAAGGUGAAAUAGACAGUCCUUGGAAACUGUUUGUCUAAUGAUAUAGGAGAUAAUAAGGAGGGACAAAAAAAGAAAAAAAUGUAUGGAUUAUUACAUGAUUAUUAAAAUGUAUUAUUGGGAAGAUGCUUAUGUUAUAAGCAGAUAGGGGAGUGUUCAAGAAGAAACAAUAUAGGUG
rnacentral:lncRNA from 1 species